rnacentral:rRNA from 1 species
ACUUUUAACAAUGGAUCUCUUGGUUCUGGCAUCGAUGAAGAACGCAGCGAAAUGCGAUAAGUAGUGUGAAUUGCAGACUUUAGUGAAUCAUCGAAUCUUUGAACGCACAUUGCGCCCCUUGGUAUUCCAUUGGGCAUGCCUGUUCGAGCGUCAUUUAC